rnacentral:tRNA from 1 species
UGUAGCUAAGCCUGGUUAUAGCGCUACGCUCAUAACGUAGAGGCCGGGGGCUCAAAUCCCCCCACCGCCA